UAUGUUCUUGCCCCCAAAUUUAAAAUGACACACGCAUAUACAAAGAAGAAAGGGAGAAACGGCCAGAAUUUCCUUGACUGCCGCCACAAACCUCUCAUUUUUCUAAAAAAAAAAUGGCAGUUUCACACCUAAUCCCAAAAAGGAAAACGAAGCCACCCCUCCCCCUCCCCCUCCCCAAUUUUCCAAAAAGCUUUAGUCGUAUCCCAAAUGUGAAGAAUUCAGCAACUGAUUAGUGCAUUUGGAAAAAAAGAUGUAUUACACCUCCAAGUUGUUUCGCCAGUAAUGCAAUUCUGCCGAUUUGUAUCAAAAUUGGGGUGUUGAAGUUGUUUGAGGUCGCCGGCGAGGUUCCAUCGAGGUUGUUGUCGUCCAAGGUUUCCGGUCUUGAAACAUUUUCAGAUUCAAAGAGCUGAGUUGUCUCAUGGAUGCCGCCAUAUUGGAGAAAGGUUAAUAGAGAGGAAGACCCCAGUCCUUGGUCAAUCUGCGAUAUAGCUCAAACAG